GAUUAAGUGUCGUAAGGGCAUUUGGUGGAUGCCUUGGCAUGCACAGGCGAUGAAGGACGUGAUACGCUGCGAAAAGCCGUGGGGAGCUGCGAAUGAGCUUUGAUCCAUGGAUCUCCGAAUGGGGCAACCCACCUUAAAUACCUAGAAAAUCUGUUUUGUUGCUUUCGUUGCGAGGGACUUCCUUCGUAGCGCAAAGCGCGUCGCCGGUUAUCCGGCGCGCCGUCCGCAGGCCUUUGGCCGUGAGGACAAAACAGGUUUCUAGGUAUUGUGAUAAGGUAUCUACACCUGAAUACAUAGGGUGUAAGAAGCGAACGCAGGGAACUGAAACAUCUAAGUACCUGCAGGAAAGGACAUCAACCGAGACUCCGCAAGUAGUGGCGAGCGAACG
rnacentral:rRNA from 1 species